CGACCAUAUCAUACCGGUUCUCGCAAGGUCACCAAAGUUAAGCAAUGUCAAGCCAGGUCAGUACCUUGAUGGGUGGCCGCUUGGGAAUACCAGCUGCUGUAAG